UACGGGGGGGGUAAGCGUUGUUCGGAAUUACUGGGCGUAAAGGGCUCGUAGGCGGCCAACUAAGUCAUACGUGAAAUCCCUCAGCUUAACUGGGGAACUGCGUGUGAUACUGGAUGGCUUGGAUUUGGGAGAGGGAUGCGGAAUUCCAGGUGUAGCGGUGAAAUGCGUAGAUAUCUGGAGGAACACCAGCGGCGAAGGCGGCUUUCUGGACCAAUACUGACGCUGAGACGCGAAAGCGUGGGGAGCAAACAGG
rnacentral:rRNA from 1 species